GCCUUCGGGAACUCUGAGACAGGUGCUGCAUGGCUGUCGUCAGCUCGUGUUGUGAAAUGUUGGGUUAAGUCCCGCAACGAGCGCAACCCUUAUCCUUUGUUGCCAGCGCGUGAUGGCGGGAACUCAAAGGAGACUGCCGGUGAUAAACCGGAGGAGGGUGGGGAUGACGUCAAGUCAUCCUGGCCCUUACGAGUAGGCCUACCCACGUGCUACAAUGGCAGAUACAAAGAGAAGCGACCUCGCGAGAGCAAGCGGAACUCAUAAAGUCUGUCGUAGUCCGGAUUGGAGUUUGCAACUCGACUCCAUGAAGUCGAAAUCGCUAGUAAUCGUAGAUCAGAAUGCUACGGUGAAUACGUUCCCGGGCCUUGU
rnacentral:rRNA from 1 species